AUAAGAAAAGUCUACCAUUUGGGACUUUCUUAGGCUAUCCACAUCAGCAUCUGUUCCAUGGUUAAUCCACAUCAGCCUUUGACAGUUAUAAUUUUUUCUUCUUUCAAUUUUCAAUUCCCUUUAAUUCAUUCAAUCCAAUUUUAUCAUCAACUACCAUUAACACCAACAAUCAUGGAAACGUUUCAAUCUUCGUAUUCCAACCGUUCCAAAAUCUCGCUCAUCCUUUCUAUCUCUCUCACGGACUCCCCUCUUCUUCUUCUUUCUUUUUCUCUUCUUCUUCCUUCCUCCUAUUUGUUGAUCUCUCUAUCUCUUACAUUUGUGUCUUCCUCACCAUCAGCAUAUGGGUUAGUUGUUGUUACAUCACACGUCGCCUGAAGCAUGUUGUUGUGCGAUAUUGCGGGAGCAUUUACGCCAGGAUCUUUUCAAUACUCAGCUUGGUUACGGUUGCAAAGUGAGAUUGAUUCAGAAGCUACAAAAGGGGUAUGGGAUUUGAACCGUGGUUUGUCUGUCACUUUCAACAUCAAGGUGCUCACCUGCAGUGUAUGCUUGGAGAAGGUUAAUAUCGAAGAUGUACUUCGUAGCCUGCCCUGCCUUCAUUAGGUUGGAUGAUGAAGCACAAGUUUGCUUGGCUAUAAAAAAGAAAUGAUGGCAAUGAGAGAGAUCUAUUGGUUCUUUGUAGUAUUUUGAUUUUGUUUAUGCUUUGAAUUUCAGGUGGCGGUUCGUUUCGAUUUGGGUUUCUCCGAUUACGCUAACGGUUCAUAGGCGCACCUAUUUAAAAUUCGCUUCUAUGUUGUAUAAAUCAUAUCUACACUGUGCAUGAAAAGGAAGACGCGAAGCUGGGCUCACCGAUCCAACAACUAAAAGAGGCAAGGUUUGAAGUUCCCUACUUGCUUUGUUGAGCUCUACAGGAUCCAAAACCUAGGAUACAUGUAUUAAUCAGUUAUUAGUUUACAACUUACAAGGUAAAGGUGGCCUCGAGGCUGCUGUGACUUGGAUAGAAAACCAUGAGAAUACGCUCGACAUAGAAAUGGUGGUCAUUCACCCAACCAACAUCUUGACUGCAGUGGACUGCAAGUCGCAACUGCAGGCAAUCCAGGUCCAUAAUUUCCAGCUUCGUGGUCUUCAGUUAUGACAAUUUUCAACAGCAUGUAACAGAUUACCACAUUAAAGACCCUAGCGCGGAGAAUGAAUAUGGUAGGGAGUGGAAUCUCUGGUAGAAUUACAGAAUUCAAUUUUGGCUCUCUCCAUAUGUGACAUGUUGAGUAUCCCAUGUAAUUUUUUAAUUAUAAGUGUACCUUAAUUUUCUACAUCGUCAAAUAAUCUUUACGAUCGAUUUUCAGGCAGCAUCAAUAUGAUUAGUAUAAGGGGCUUCUGUUUUCUGAUGAAGUUCAAUUCUAAAAACAAAGCAUGUUGCGAACAGUGUGAACAAAAUGUAGUAGAUGGUACCAUGUAGUUGAUUAUGCCAAUUGCAACAUAAAACAAGUUGUAGAUACAUAUAUAUACAGCUCUAUUUUAAUAUUGUAUAAUGUGUU